rnacentral:piRNA from 1 species
UACACAUUAUAGGAGUUUGCAGCAGCACA